rnacentral:rRNA from 1 species
GACGAACCGAGCGAACGUUGUUCGGAAUCACUGGGCUUAAAGGGCGCGUAGGCGGUCAUCCUAGUCUGUUGUGAAAUCCGGCAGCUUAACUGUCGAAUUGCCAUGGAUACUGGGUGUCUCGAGGGAGGCAGGGGUGCGCGGAACUGAUGGUGGAGCGGUGAAAUGCGUUGAUAUCAUCAGGAACUCCGGUGGCGAAGGCGGCGCACUGGUCCUUAUCUGACGCUGAGGAGCGAAAGCCAGGGGAGCAAACGGG